rnacentral:rRNA from 1 species
CACCGCCCGUCACACCAUGGGAGUUGGAUUCACUCGAAGGCGUUGAGCUAACCCGCAAGGGAGGCAGGCGACCACAGUAGGGUCAGCGACUGGGGUG